rnacentral:rRNA from 1 species
UUAAGUUAUUAAGGGCGCACGGUGGAUGCCUUGGCACUAGAAGCCGAUGAAGGACGUUACUAACGACGAUAUGCUUUGGGGAGCUGUAAGUAAGCUUUGAUCCAGAGAUUUCCGAAUGGGGAAACCCAGCAUGAGUUAUGUCAUGUUAUCGAUAUGUGAAUACAUAGCAUAUCAGAAGGCACACCCGGAGAACUGAAACAUCUUAGUACCCGGAGGAAGAGAAAGAAAAUUCGAUUCCCUUAGUAGCGGCGAGCGAAACGGGAAGAGCCCAAACCAAAAAGCUUGCUUGUUGGGGUUGUAGGACACUCUAUACGGAGUUACAAAGGACGACAUUAGACGAAUCAUCUGGAAAGAUGAAUCAAAGAAGGUAAUAAUCCUGUAGUCGAAAAUGUUGUCUCUCUUGAGUGGAUCCUGAGUACGACGGAGCACGUGAAAUUCCGUCGGAAUCUGGGAGGACCAUCUCCUAAGGCUAAAUACUCUCUAGUGACCGAUAGCGAACCAGUACCGUGAGGGAAAGGUGAAAAGCACCCCGGAAGGGGAGUGAAAUAGAACCUGAAACCGUGUGCUUACAAGUAGUCAGAGCCCGUUAAUGGGUGAUGGCGUGCCUUUUGUAGAAUGAACCGGCGAGUUACGAUUUGAUGCAAGGUUAAGCAGUAAAUGUGGAGCCGUAGCGAAAGCGAGUCUGAAUAGGGCGUUUAGUAUUUGGUCGUAGACCCGAAACCAGGUGAUCUACCCUUGGUCAGGUUGAAGUUCAGGUAACACUGAAUGGAGGACCGAACCGACUUACGUUGAAAAGUGAGCGGAUGAACUGAGGGUAGCGGAGAAAUUCCAAUCGAACCUGGAGAUAGCUGGUUCUCUCCGAAAUAGCUUUAGGGCUAGCCUCAAGUGAUGAUUAUUGGAGGUAGAGCACUGUUUGGACGAGGGGCCCCUCUCGGGUUACCGAAUUCAGACAAACUCCGAAUGCCAAUUAAUUUAACUUGGGAGUCAGAACAUGGGUGAUAAGGUCCGUGUUCGAAAGGGAAACAGCCCAGACCACCAGCUAAGGUCCCAAAAUAUAUGUUAAGUGGAAAAGGAUGUGGCGUUGCCCAGACAACUAGGAUGUUGGCUUAGAAGCAGCCAUCAUUUAAAGAGUGCGUAAUAGCUCACUAGUCGAGUGACACUGCGCCGAAAAUGUACCGGGGCUAAACAUAUUACCGAAGCUGUGGAUUGUCCUUUGGACAAUGGUAGGAGAGCGUUCUAAGGGCGUUGAAGCAUGAUCGUAAGGACAUGUGGAGCGCUUAGAAGUGAGAAUGCCGGUGUGAGUAGCGAAAGACGGGUGAGAAUCCCGUCCACCGAUUGACUAAGGUUUCCAGAGGAAGGCUCGUCCGCUCUGGGUUAGUCGGGUCCUAAGCUGAGGCCGACAGGCGUAGGCGAUGGAUAACAGGUUGAUAUUCCUGUACCACCUAUAAUCGUUUUAAUCGAUGGGGGGACGCAGUAGGAUAGGCGAAGCGUGCGAUUGGAUUGCACGUCUAAGCAGUAAGGCUGAGUAUUAGGCAAAUCCGGUACUCGUUAAGGCUGAGCUGUGAUGGGGAGAAGACAUUGAGUCUUCGAGUCGUUGAUUUCACACUGCCGAGAAAAGCCUCUAGAUAGAAAAUAGGUGCCCGUACCGCAAACCGACACAGGUAGUCAAGAUGAGAAUUCUAAGGUGAGCGAGCGAACUCUCGUUAAGGAACUCGGCAAAAUGACCCCGUAACUUCGGGAGAAGGGGUGCUCUUUAGGGUUAACGCCCAGAAGAGCCGCAGUGAAUAGGCCCAAGCGACUGUUUAUCAAAAACACAGGUCUCUGCUAAACCGUAAGGUGAUGUAUAGGGGCUGACGCCUGCCCGGUGCUGGAAGGUUAAGAGGAGUGGUUAGCUUCUGCGAAGCUACGAAUCGAAGCCCCAGUAAACGGCGGCCGUAACUAUAACGGUCCUAAGGUAGCGAAAUUCCUUGUCGGGUAAGUUCCGACCCGCACGAAAGGCGUAACGAUUUGGGCACUGUCUCAACGAGAGACUCGGUGAAAUCAUAGUACCUGUGAAGAUGCAGGUUACCCGCGACAGGACGGAAAGACCCCGUGGAGCUUUACUGUAGCCUGAUAUUGAAAUUCGGCACAGCUUGUACAGGAUAGGUAGGAGCCUUUGAAACGUGAGCGCUAGCUUACGUGGAGGCGCUGGUGGGAUACUACCCUAGCUGUGUUGGCUUUCUAACCCGCACCACUUAUCGUGGUGGGAGACAGUGUCAAGCGGGCAGUUUGACUGGGGCGGUCGCCUCCUAAAAGGUAACGGAGGCGCUCAAAGGUUCCCUCAGAAUGGUUGGAAAUCAUUCAUAGAGUGUAAAGGCAUAAGGGAGCUUGACUGCGAGACCUACAAGUCGAGCAGGGUCGAAAGACGGACUUAGUGAUCCGGUGGUUCCGCAUGGAAGGGCCAUCGCUCAACGGAUAAAAGCUACCCCGGGGAUAACAGGCUUAUCUCCCCCAAGAGUUCACAUCGACGGGGAGGUUUGGCACCUCGAUGUCGGCUCAUCGCAUCCUGGGGCUGUAGUCGGUCCCAAGGGUUGGGCUGUUCGCCCAUUAAAGCGGUACGCGAGCUGGGUUCAGAACGUCGUGAGACAGUUCGGUCCCUAUCCGUCGUGGGCGUAGGAAAUUUGAGAGGAGCUGUCCUUAGUACGAGAGGACCGGGAUGGACAUACCUCUGGUGUACCAGUUGUCGUGCCAACGGCAUAGCUGGGUAGCUAUGUGUGGACGGGAUAAGUGCUGAAAGCAUCUAAGCAUGAAGCCCCCCUCAAGAUGAGAUUUCCCAACUUCGGUUAUAAGAUCCCUCAAAGAUGAUGAGGUUAAUAGGUUCGAGGUGGAAGCAUGGUGACAUGUGGAGCUGACGAAUACUAAUCGAUCGAAGACUUAAUCAA